rnacentral:tRNA from 1 species
GUUGACACUUUUUUUAGAAAAA